AUCAAAUAAAAUUAUAUUUAAUAAUUAAAAUGUUGGCUAUGUUUCAUGGAUUUUAAUUGACCCCGGAUAGUUAAACAUCAACAUAUAUGCAAACCAGGUUACUCUGGAAAUAAAUGUGAAACAGAAGUUGACAUUUGCGAAAAAAAUCCUUGUGAAAAUGGUUUUUGCAUUAAAGAAGGAAAUAAUUUAAGUUAUUCUUGUGAAUGCUUUCUUGGUUUUUACGGACGAAAUUGUGAAAAUGUUUUAGGAGAAGGUUGUGGUGGUGAUUUAUUUGAGUCAGAGGGUGAAAUACAUUACCCUAUUAGUAAUACCACUUCAACGUAUGAUAGUGAUUUAAAUUGUUAUUGGACUAUUGAAAUAAAUAAUUCAAAAAUUAUAAAAAUAUCAUUUGAAUGGAUAGAUUUGGAAAAGUCAUAUGAUUGUCGAAGCGAUUACGUUGAAGUAAAUUGGUAAUUGAAUUUAUGAAAAUUGUCAAUUAAAAAAAAUAAUUUUAGAUAAGAAAUGUAAUUG